CCUACGGGUGGCAGCAGUGGGGAAUAUUGCGCAAUGGGCGAAAGCCUGACGCAGCGACGCCGCGUGAGGGAUGAAGGUCUUCGGAUCGUAAACCUCUGUCAGCAGGGAAGAACGGUCACUGUGCUAAUCAGCAGUCAAUUGAUGGUACCGGCAAAGGAAGCACCGGCUAACUCCGUGCCAGCAGCCGCGGUAAUACGGAGGGUGCGAGCGUUAACCGGAAUUACUGGGCGUAAAGCGCUCGUAGGCGGUAUGUCAAGGCAAGGGUGAAAUCCCCGGGCUCAACGUGGGAACUGCAUUUGAAACUGGCAAGCUGGAGUGUGGGAGAGGAUAGUGGAAUUCCAGGUGUAGGGGUGAAAUCCGUAGAUAUCUGGAGGAACAUCAGUGGCGAAGGCGACUAUCUGGCACAUAACUGACGCUGAGGAGCGAAAGCGUGGGUAGCAAACAGGAUUAGAUACCCCAGUAGUC
rnacentral:rRNA from 1 species